AGAGUUUGAUCCUGGCUCAGGAUGAACGCUGGCGGCGUGCCUAACACAUGCAAGUCGAACGGGAACAGAAUGAAACCUAGUGAUUUUGUUUAGUGGCGGACGGGUGAGUAACGCGUGGGUAACCUGCCGUAUACAGGGGGAUAACACUUAGAAAUAGGUGCUAAUACCGCAUAAGCGCACAGCUUCGCAUGGAGCAGUGUGAAAAGCGUAAACGGUAUACGAUGGACCCGCGUCUGAUUAGCUAGUUGCGGGGUAGAGGCCCACCAAGGCGACGAUCAGUAGCCGGCCUGAGAGGGUGACCGGCCACAUUGGGACUGAGACACGGCCCAAACUCCUACGGGAGGCAGCAGUGGGGAAUAUUGCACAAUGGGGGAACCCUGAUGCAGCGACGCCGCGUGAGUGAAGAAGUAUUUCGGUAUGUAAAGCUCUAUCAGCAGGGAAGAAAAUGACGGUACCUGACUAAGAAGCCCCGGCUAACUACGUG
rnacentral:rRNA from 1 species